GAGGAUAUAACUUUUGAUUGUAAUUGGUCGAAAGCGAGACUUCCAAUGCGUCUUUGUUCAAACAUUCCUUUCAGGUUGAAUAUAACCAUGCACAUCUUUAAUAACACUUUUAAAGAGAGCCCGAACAUCAGGGUACGCACAAUACAAACAGGACCUGAGGAACUCUACCAGUCGAGGACUUCGUUUGGAAUCCACGAGAUGAUUAAGUGCAGUCAAGAUGGUCACUGUAUGAUAUUUUUAACAGAAAACAAGCCAGAUGAAGAUUCUAACAGCACUAUAGAUAUCAAUAACCUGAUCACAAUCAUUUUUGGGGCAAUAUCAAGCUUAAUGAUACCGGUGCUGCUGUUACUGGCUAGAAAUCAUAUCCUGGAUAGAAGGAAAGACACAACAGAUGGCAGAAAACCAGAUGAUGGCCCAGAGGACUUGGAUAAAAAAUCAAAUGUCGAUGAAGAAAUCAUUCCAUCUUUAUAAGAAACAGUUCUUCUAUGGAAGUCUCUCCUAUUGUUAAAAGAGCAUUCACGCAACAUUGGAGUAUUUUGCAUGAAUGAGAAUUAAUUGAACAAAACGGCAAAACGAAAUAU